rnacentral:rRNA from 1 species
AUGCACUGGUUUGUAUGGUGGAAGUUGUGUGUUCCCAAGGAACAAGGUGGCAUGUGAUUUAAAGACUUGGAGUUUUUUAACCUUGCAAUGUGUUUGAAGGAAUGUUGAAGGCUACUAUCUGAACCUGAAUCUUUAUGGGCAGAAGUAUUGAGAGAUAAGUAUUUUCCAUCAGGUUGUCCCUUCAACAGCGAAUUAGAGAAGGAAGACUCCUAUACAUGGAAAAGUUUGUGGGUUGGGAUAAAACUUUCAAGAUAUGACAUAUGUGGAAUGUUGGAGAUGGUGAAAAUGAACAUAUGA